rfam:Nicotiana sylvestris Nsyl_contig16518, whole genome shotgun sequence.
UGGACAGAUUAUUGUAUUCGACUGUAUUCACGACGUGAAAUAGGGGAUUGCACUGUUUUUAAAACGGAAAGUGAAUCAAUUAACACAAUAGACUCCU